rfam:Nicotiana sylvestris Nsyl_contig182853, whole genome shotgun sequence.
UCGACAGAUUAUUGUAUUCGACUGUAUUCACGGCGUGAAACAGGGGAUUACACUGUUUUUAAAACGGAAAGUGAAUCAAUUAACAUAAUAGACUCCU